UACGUAGGGGGCAAGCGUUGCUCGGAAUCACUGGGCGUAAAGGGUGCGUAGGCGGGUCUUUUAAGUCAGGGGUGAAAUCCUGGAGCUCAACUCCAGAACUGCCUUUGAUACUGAGGAUCUUGAGUUCGGGAGAGGUGAGUGGAACUGCGAGUGUAGAGGUGAAAUUCGUAGAUAUUCGCAAGAACACCAGUGGCGAAGGCGGCUCACUGGCCCGAUACUGACGCUGAGGCACGAAAAGCGUGGGGAGCAAACAGGG
rnacentral:rRNA from 1 species